UGUCCCAGCCGCCGCGGCAAUACAGAGGGUGCAAGCGUUAAUCGGAAUUACUGGGCGUAAAGCGCACGUAGGCGGUUUUUUAAGUCAGAUGUGAAAGCCCCGGGCUCAACCUGGGAAUUGCAUUUGAAACUGGGAAGCUAGUAGUGUGUGAGAGGGGGGUAGAAUUCCAAGUGUAGCGGUGAAAUGCGUAGAGAUUUGGAGGAAUACCAGUGGCGAAGGCGGCCCCCUGGCACAACACUGACGCUCAUGUGCGAAAGCGUGGGGAGCAAACAGGAUUAUAUAC
rnacentral:rRNA from 1 species